UUUGUUUAAGUGUCUGUUUGCCUACCUUUGUUUUUCCAUGUUCCUAGUGGUCCAGGUUUUGGUUGUCAUGAUUAGUUCCUAUUUGUUUUGGUUUUCUUAUCUGUUCUGUUUUGACAACGUCUCGCCUUUUGUUAAAAUUCGUUUUUGCCUACUUUGCCUGCAUUUGGUUCCUCACUCUCGACUCCACACGAUGUGAUGCCUGCAGAUCCUGGCAGUCACUUACCUAGACCCCUCUACGGUCUUUGUACUUGUACUUAACUGACAAGUAAAAUGGCCUCUUAAGGUACAGCUCAAGCAAGAAACUCUGCUCCAGUUUUGGGAUUGCCACAGCACAUCAUCUGCCUCCAACUCAUCCUACCGCUGGUAUCCUCCUCUGUCACAUCAGUCCUCUGCAUGUCCUCCUUCACUACAUCCAUGAACCUCCUCUGAGGCCUUCCUUUUCAUCCUGCCGUGCAGCUCUUUAUACAUCUUUUGUCCAGUAUAUCAACUAUCCCUCCUCUGAGCAUGUCCAUAGGAUUUCAGCCUUGCCCUUCUCAAUUUGUUUCCAAGCUGUUCAACCUGAGCUCUGAUAUUAUGACUAAUUGUCUCCUAUUCUGGUGACUUUCAAUUAAAAUUUUUAU